UCGUCCCCAAACGCACCACCCCAGCUCCAGCUCCAGGCUCCAGCUCCAAUGGCGCCGCCGCAUCAAUCGCCCCCUUCCUCUCCUUCCCCGCGGUACCCUCUCCGCGUCCAACGCUAUGUGUGCCCCCGCCGGGACCGCUUCGUUCGCCGGGAGCUGGCGGCGGCGCCGGUUCGCCGGCCGCCGCGGGCUGAAUGAGGAGCGGCGGGAACGGCGCGGAGCCCUCCGGCGCUACCGCGCUUCCCUCCACCACGAAUCUGGCUGGGGGACGCGCGCGCCGCUGCGAAAUGGCGGGGGCGCGCGCCCCGUCCGCAGGUCAGCCGGGGCGCCGAGGCCGAGCCCGCGGUGAUACAAUCAUACAAGCAGCAGAAAGGACCCCAACGAUUUCGGUAGCUGACUUCGCACGGCACGAAGGUGGAGGUGGAUAGUCAGAUAAGAUUCCGCACAGCAGCCCCUGGAGUUUUCAAACUUGCCUGCCGCCUCAACUGAAAUGAAAACGGCCACCACGCUGAUCACACGCCCAUAUUGUAGGGAUUUGGCUGGGCAUUAACCAGGCCAGGCUUUGCCUAUAUGUAUCGUCAUGUAACCUGUUGCAUAAACAUCGAUUGCUGCAUAUACUGUUAUAUAGGACGAUACGGCUAUGCCUAAACAAAGCAAUGGCAUGCGUCACCAUUGUACUGUUUGCUUGAUUUAUGGGCAUGCAUCACCAUUGCACUGUUUGCUUGCUUUA